rnacentral:rRNA from 1 species
CCUACGGGAGGCAGCAGUGAGGAAUAUUGGUCAAUGGUCGGGAGACUGAACCAGCCAAGCCGCGUGAGGGAGGAAGGUACAGAGUAUCGUAAACCUCUUUUGUCAGGGAACAAAGACUGGGACGCGUCCCCGGAUGAGUGUACCUGAAGAAAAAGCAUCGGCUAACUCCGUGCCAGCAGCCGCGGUAAUAAGGAGGAUGCGAGCGUUAUCCGGGUUUAUGGGGGUUAAGGGGUGCGCAGGCGGUCUGUUAAGUCAGCGGUCAAAGCCCGGGGCUCAACCCCGGCCCGCCGUUGAAACUGGCAGUCUCGAGUUGGAGAGAAGUAUGCGGAAUGCGCGGUGUAGCGGUGAAAUGCAUAGAUAUCGCGCAGAACUCCGAUUGCGAAGGCAGCAUGCCGGCUCCACACUGACGCUGAGGCACGAAAGCGUGGGUAUCGAACAGGAUUAGAUACCCUAGUAGUC